ACUCCUACGGGAGGCAGCAGUAGGGAAUCUUCCACAAUGGGCGAAAGCCUGAUGGAGCAACGCCGCGUGGGUGACGAAGGUCUUCGGAUCGUAAAACCCUGUUGUUAGAGAAGAAAGUGCGUGAGAGUAACUGUUCACGUUUCGACGGUAUCUAACCAGAAAGCCACGGCUAACUACGUGCCAGCAGCCGCGGUAAUACGUAGGUGGCAAGCGUUAUCCGGAUUUAUUGGGCGUAAAGGGAACGCAGGCGGUCUUUUAAGUCUGAUGUGAAAGCCUUCGGCUUAACCGGAGUAGUGCAUUGGAAACUGGGAGACUUGAGUGCAGAAGAGGAGAGUGGAACUCCAUGUGUAGCGGUGAAAUGCGUAGAUAUAUGGAAGAACACCAGUGGCGAAAGCGGCUCUCUGGUCUGUAACUGACGCUGAGGUUCGAAAGCGUGGGUAGCAAACAGGAUUAGAUACCCUGGUAGGAUAGCG
rnacentral:rRNA from 1 species